UCAUUAUGAUUUUGAUCAUAAACUAAUUAUUCUAUAUGUUUUGUGUUAAGUGUGAGCAUUUCUUGACAAAAUGUUGACAGAAUUUUUAGUCCUGGAUGUCCAAAGUUGUAUACUGCCUCUAAUGGGAAUUUUAAGUGCUCAAGACCUUCAAAUGUCUGGAUACUUCAAUUUAGUAGCUUCCAGGGCUGAAAAUUUUGGUCUCUGUCAAUAGCAGGUAAAGCAUUAAUUUUUCAGCAUAAGGAUAGUGGUGAUUGUUAUGGUAGUCUUAGGUAUGUAUUUUGUUGAAAACUGUUUUCAAUAGUUAAUUAAAUCUUCCAGUUUUGCUACAUUUCUCCUAACAGAAACAAAAUCUCAAGUUUACCUUUGGAAUAAUUGUGCCAAUCUGUUUUUCUUCCUUAUGAGCGCCUUGCCUUUUCUGUGGCUAUAAAGUUUCCUUAACUCAUUGCCUAGCAUUUUCUAGUGAAUAGCCAGUUUGCCUGAGGAGCUUGAAAAUUUUGCCAUAAUUGUGUCAAGUGACCAAGAAUGUUCAUAAGGGUGUAGUCUGUCGCUGUUUCAACGUACCUUGCUAUUGUUUUGACUAACUUCUAUAAGGACCAGCAGAAAUAUCUGCAUUUUCAACUCAAGACGUCUCUUUAUCCCUUCUGACUUUGGACUGGUGAGGUUUUUCUUCCAAAUUGCGGCAUUGGUGUUCAUCUAAAUCGGGGCAUAAGUACAUGAUGAGAAGUUGCAUAAAAAAUAUUAGACUCUGUUGACUGUAGCUGUUUAAUAAUGCUCCCAUUUGUAGAACUGUUCUCUCCUUUAGAUGUACUGCAGUAGCUGUUAAUACUGCCACCCAAAAAAUCUAUUUUCAGAGCUCAGUGCUCAAUACAAAAACAAAAACUCAACAACUCUAAAUAUAAAGCUAGACAAAUUAGAUGCAAAAUGUGUCAUCUAUUUCAGGCCCCAAACCUGAAAGUUCUUCAGAAAAAGAAACUACCGAAACAGGGACACAUGGGGAUAUUACCACAAUUUUUCUACUGUUGUAAGUAACUUUUUCAAUUUAUCUACAAAUAAAUCUUAGGAAAUCCCUUGUAUAACAACUGCAGCUUUCAACAAUAAACCUGUAGCUUAAAAUGGUUCUGGGUUUUCUGAAAGCACAAAAGCAAAUUAGCAAAUCUCUGUGAAGAUCACACAAACAAAUACAUCUCAAUUCUGAAAAAAAAAAAAAAAAGAAAAGGUGUUAUACUCAACUUUGUUCCUGUGUUUCACUAUUUAGCAAAACAUUCCCUAUAUUUUUUGCAGCUUCUUACUCUUACACUGUGGAAGGAAGGACCUGUGUCAUCUUUCCUUUGCUGACACCCUUUAAAUUUAUAGGGUUCACUGGAGACGGUAUUUGACAUCUCUUGCAGGGGUAGUGAACAUGUUAAUGACCAUUGAAGAAUGAGAAAUGUGUGUUGAACUCUUAAGAAGACUUCUUUCUACUGCUUUUAUUAUUUUGAGUGUAAAAAGAUUAUGCAUACAGUAUGUACCUUACAAUGUAAAAGGGAGCUCUAUCACUAAUAAUUAGACUAUAUGUAACAACUUUAUCAAAAGUGGAAAUAAUCUAUUUUAAUUGAUGGAGAAAAGAGCAACAUGCAAACCAACUGUAGUAUUUUGUAAAAGAAUCUGAAAUGUAGUUCCAUUUUAAAAAAAAAAAAAAAAAAAAAAAAACUUUCCUGGAGAUUUCAUUUGACCCUAUUUACCCACGGAUUACCUACCUUUACCGAUAGUGGGCUUAUAAGAACUUAUCUGUUCUAAGGGAUGCUAUUUCCCUUUAUUUCUCCUCUUGAUAACAUUUGCAGCAUAUGCCAGGACUCUUUCCUGUAUAGGAAAUGUGGAUCACCUUAGAAAUAGUUUUAAUAGCCUACACAUGCCUGCAAAUUGCUUGAAAUAUCUUUGAUUAUCCAUAAUUAAAUUGAAAAAAGGUAAACAAAUAUACCACUGCUCUUGUUCCCUGACAGUUCAAUUUCAAUAUUUUCAAAAUUAACCAGACUAAUUUGGGUAUGCUAAGACUUGCCCUAUCCAAUGGCAGCACAGAUCACAGACCAAUUUCAAAACAGUUUAGUGCUAGCCAAAACACCAGGAGCUGGUUGUUGCAAGCUUUGGAAAACAGUUAUGAAAAUAUUGUAAUCAUCUCCAGAAGUUUCUGAAUGGCUGUCCUAUGAAAAUAAUAUUAAUCUGUUUGAUGGAGGCACCUUACAAUAACUGCUAAAAUCAGCUCAAUUUUUGCUGUAUUCCUUUACAACAAAGUGCUUAUUCUUUAAAGCUUGUUGCUAAUCUUGUCAUGAGACUUAAUGUUGUGGAGGGAAAACUGACUGGUUGUUUUUCACUCUCUUAACAGUUCUAGUUCUCAGUUGGAAUGUGCCUCUAUCAUUCACCAUACUGCAUGCAAAAAUGUUAUGCAAUGAUUGUAGAAAAUAAACCAUUUCUAAUGGGUGAGAACAUUUCAAUGUGAAUGUAAAAUGAUUAAACAAGGAAUGUGCAGUUAAGUUCUCUGCAUUAUGCUUUAUCACGUGUUUGUGGAGACCUGGCUUAAAAAAAAUGAUAUAUUUGGUAGCAUCUUCUUUCAAGGCAGGGUUUGUAUUAGUGUAGUUGGCAUCUGUAAUUCUCAAAGAGCUUUUAUACAUGGGAAAGCUGGUGUGAAGUACCCAAGGAUGUGAACAUUUCUAUGUUAGGAUGAAAUGGGUCAUAAUUUGUAUAUAGCUGCUUCUGGAUGUGAAAUAUAAAGGCAGUUUUAUAAUAAGCUUAGAUGUAAAUGCAUGUAGUUAACAGUGUUUAGUUCAAGACUUAUGUUUCUGAAUGGAGUAAGGAACAUUAUUACACUGUCCUUAGUGCAAUUUGGUAUGUAAUAACUGAUAUUCUUUGACACAUGCUUGUUUCUUGCACAGCAGGAAAGACAUUCUUCAGAUUUUGAGAAAUGCUAAAAUUCUUUAAACCAGAUCUAUUAAAAAUCCUUUUAAAGCAA